CCUACGGGAGGCAGCAGUGGGGAAUAUUGGACAAUGGGGGGAACCCUGAUCCAGCCAUGCCGCGUGUGUGAAGAAGGCCCUCGGGUUGUAAAGCACUUUCAGUGAGGAAGAACGCCUGGUGGUUAAUACCCAUCAGGAAAGACAUCACUCACAGAAGAAGCACCGGCUAACUCCGUGCCAGCAGCCGCGGUAAUACGGAGGGUGCGAGCGUUAAUCGGAAUUACUUGGCGUAAAGCGCGCGUAGGUGGCUUGAUAAGCCGGUUGUGAAAGCCCCGGGCUCAACCUGGGAACGGCAUCCGGAACUGUCAAGCUAGAGUGCAGGAGAGGAAGGUAGAAUUCCCGGUGUAGCGGUGAAAUGCGUAGAGAUCGGGAGGAAUACCAGUGGCGAAGGCGGCCUUCUGGACUGACACUGACACUGAGGUGCGAAAGCGUGGGUAGCAAACAGGAUUAGAUACCCUAGUAGUC
rnacentral:rRNA from 1 species